rnacentral:lncRNA from 1 species
UGUCUGCGAACUCUUUCAUAUGCUUCAACUCCUCCAUAUAUUCCAAAAUAUUCAUAUCCACUAAAUGCUCUAGAAGUUUGGCUCAUUUGUGAUUAAAAAACUACUAAAGCCUCUGUGAACACUAUUGUUCAACUCGCAAUGUGUCUUUCAUCUCUCUUUGUUUUCUCUUUAUUUCAUCCAUUUUUUUCUUUUUGUACUCCCUGCUCUCUUGUUUCUGUAACUUUAGAGGUUAUUGUUGGUAGAUGUAAUCACCUUUCUCCAUCUACAAUUCUCA